GCCUAGAUAACUCAGUUGGGAGAGCGUUAGACUGAAGAUCUAAGUGUCCCUGGUUCGAUCCCGGGUCUGGGCA
rnacentral:tRNA from 1 species